UAUAUAUAUAUAUAUAUAUAUAUAAAACCAAGCCCAGGCAUGCAGGUCUAGGCUUGAAGGCCCACCAACGCUGUAAAAUCCUGAGAAUUAAAAAAAAUGAAUGUAUGAUGAAUGAUGAAGUGAAAUAAAAUGAAAUAAAAAUAAAUGAAUAUAAUAACAAAGAAAUCAAAUAAGAAAAAUACGAAAGACAUAAGGAGUGUGACUCCAAUUGUAAAGAAAAGAAAAGAAAAUGGCUCAAUGUGUAAUUAGGAAGAAUGGGGCUAUAAAUACCCAAUUUCUUCCUCUUUCAUGGCCGACUGAACACCAUAGAAAAGAGGGGAGAGAGUACAAAUUUUUCUUCAUCAAAAGAGAGGGAAAAAUACCAAAUGUCCUAGGACUAUACAAACCUAAGACCCUUAAGUAGAGAGGACACCCAUUAAGAAGGAUUUUAACAAGGAAAACAAGUGAAGAAAUUGGAGAAAAAGAGGGGAGAGGGUUGGCUGCAUACAAGAGAGGAGAGGCCAAAAAUCUUCAACUAAAUUAACUGAAAUUCUGAAAUUUCGCAAGGUAUGGACACUAAACUUAAUUUGAAAAAUAAUUUAACAAUUAAUUAGGAUAUGCACCAAUUUCAGAUUUUAUAAAUUAGGUUUCUUGAGUGAAAAUUAGGGGAAGUGUAAAAAUUGUUAGAAUGAAGUUAGUUGAGCUAACAUAAGAUGUUCUGAACAUGAAAAACAUGCAAAAUUGUUAAAGAAAAAUCAUUAACUUAAAGGCUUGAGUGGCCGACCAUGCGAGAAUUGAAUGGGGGAAGAAGGGAAUUCUAAAAUUUAUGUUGAUGAACACUUAUAGUAUGUGUAUGAUGUGAACAAUGAGUGAAUGAGGCAAGAAAAAUUGACUAAAAAGAAAAGGGAAACCUUGGUUCCCUUAGGCCAAGUUUGGCCAAGAGUCAAUUGAGGGGAGUGAAGAAGAAUUAUGGUAUAUUGUGUGUUCUUAAUGCAUAAAUUAAUUGUAGUAGAAAGCUCACUAAUAGGGAAAAACAUGAAAAAAUUGAUAAUAGAAGACUUCAUGAGUUUAAUGUGUGUUACGUGAAGCAAAGACAAAAUUGUUAACCAUGGGUAUAGCUCAUGAUUUCAGCAUUAGAGGAAUCACAAAAUGUAGGAAAAUGUAGAAAAUAAGUGUGGUAGAAGAAAAGGAGAAGUAAAGAUGACGGAAAAUUUAUUUAGGAAUUUUUGACGAAAUCUGGGCAGAUUCAUCACCCCUGUUCUAGGGGAGCUUCGAGCCUUAGAACAAAAAACUUUGGGAAACGUCUCUUCAUAGAAAUUGUAGUCAGGGGUGUUAUCUUUCCAACGAAUCUGACCUCACUUGAUUUGAAGCUUUAGAGCUUUAGAUAUAGAUAAAUGUAUGAGAAAAGGUCGAGUUGUCGUCUUUGCUAGUAGUUUCGGUGAAAUUGAUAAAAUGGGAAAGUUUAGCCUCGAUAAAGGCAGAACCUGAUUUCCUUCCCACCAGGAAUUUUGCAACGUUGUACCUUGACAUCAAAAGGGAAUAAACCACAUUUGAUAAUGAAUUUAAUAAUAUGUGUAAUGAUUUAAGAUAAUGAAACGCGAAGAGUAAAUGUUGUUAUUGUUGUUGUCUUGCUAUUUGCGAAAUGUAAAUUGAACAUGAACUAAUGUGGUGUACUUGUGGAUUCAAGAGGAACCAUGGGAGGCGUACAACAACAUCAAGGGAGCGCAAAUCGAGCUUCGGUGACAGGUCCUUCACAUUCACGCCAAGAGUAGUGCCCUAGGUUUUUAAUUUCUUUUGUAUGAAUUAGAGAAUUCUUGUUUCUAAUUCUUUUUAUAUAAAUUAGGAAAUUCAUGUUUGUAGUUCCUUUUGUAUGAAUUAGGAAAUUAGUAUUUCUAGUUCUUUUUGUAUGAAUUAGGAAUUAAAUGAAUGUCAAUGUAUUUUGACUUAAGUAAUUAUAUGAAUCGAAUUGUAUUAGUAUCUCUUUAUAUUAAUCAUAAAGACUUAAGAUUUUUACU